rnacentral:rRNA from 1 species
AUUGAACGCUGGCGGCAGGCCUAACACAUGCAAGUCGAGCGAGCGGCGGACGGGAGAGUAAUGGCUGGGCAUAUGCCUGAUGGAUGGGGAUAACUACUGGAAACUGUAACCAAUACCGCAUACCAUCAGAUGUGCCCAGGUGGGAUUAGCUAGUGGGUGGGGUAAUGGCUGACCUAGGCGAGGAUCCCUAGCUGGUCGGAGAGGAUGACCAGCCACACUGGAACUGAGACACGGUCCAGAUUCCUACGGGAGGCAGCAGUGGGGAAUAUUGGACAAUGGGCGAAAGCCUGAUGCAGCCAUGCCGCGGGUGUGAAGAAGGCCUUCGGGUGGUAAAGCACUUUCAGCGGGGAGGCGUUACUCGCAGAAGAAGCACCGGCUAACUCCGUGCCAGCAGCCGCGGUAAUUC